rnacentral:pre_miRNA from 1 species
UUGUGUGUGGUGAUGAGGCAGUGUAUUGUUAGUUAGCUGUUCUUCAUACACCAGCAACUGACUACACUGCCACAUUAGCACAUCACUG